GUUUGGGCACAUGCAAAAGGAGCAUUAGGAAAACGGGCAAAUGUCACAUUCACAAUUUGAUAUUCUGAAGAAAGAAAAACUGCUGAUUCAAAAUCUUGAGGUUUUUAACAAAAGAAUCCAAAAGAGCGAACCAUAUUCUAAAAUUUAGAGCGGACACAUUGCAAAUAUUGAACUUUGAGAAUGAGGAUAUUCGCUUCCCUUCAGAU